AAAAUGUAACCGGACCGGUUCGUCAAAGGUGAGAGCCUGCGGCGGAUCGCGAAGGGAGAUAUCAUACACCCUAUGUUUAUUUACUUUUGUUGCUUUGGCGGGCCGUCUUUUUAGGCGUCGGCCCCGGCUGAUCGCGCCCGCCAGAGGACCCAAACUCUUUUAUUAGUGAUGUCUGAGUACUAUAUAAUAGUUA
rnacentral:misc_RNA from 1 species